rnacentral:lncRNA from 1 species
AAUUAUUAGGUUUAAAGAAAUGUAAUUUUGGUUUACAUUCUCUACGUUCGGGUGGGGCUACAGCUGCUGCAAAUGCAGGUAUUUCCGAUAGAUUGUUUAAAAAACAUGGUAGAUGGAAAUCAGAAAAUGCAAAAGAUGGUUAUAUUAGAGAAAAUAUUGUUCAUCAACUUUCUGUAUCUAUGAAUAUAGGCAUUUAAUAAAUAUAUUAUUUCAAUUGUGUAAUUAUUUUUGUCCUACACGCC